GCCAACGUACAAGCCGGCACCCAAGCCCACUCCUCCCACGUAUAAGCCCACACCCAAGCCCUCGCCGCCGACGUACCCGCCGAAGCCAACACCACCCACCUACAAGCCGGCGCCGAAGCCGACUCCCCCGACCUACAAGCCGGCGCCGAAGCCGACACCGCCCACCUACAAGCCCGCGCCGAAGCCGACGCCCCCGACCUACAAGCCGGACCCCAAGCCGACUCCCCCGACGUACAAGCCCGCGCCGAAGCCGGCCCCCAAGCCUACGCCCCCGAACUACAAGCCGGCGCCGAAGCCGACGCCGCCGUCGUACAAGCCGGCCCCGAAGCCCACUCCCCCGGCACCGAAGCCCACGCCGCCGACACCACCAGCCUACAAGCCGGCGCCGAAGCCGAGCCCUCCGACGCCCGCCCCGCCGGCGUACAAGCCUCCGACUCCGACUCCUCCGGCGUACAAGACCCCCACUCCGAGCCCGCCGCCGCCGCCCUACCACCACUAAGAUCCAUCACUCUCUUUAGUUGGGAGCACAGGUGAGCAAUGCGGCAAUCUCAGUCUAUGCAUGCAUGAUGCAUGCAUGAAACGCAGACUGUAUCUACAUUUCCCUUUCAAAGUGCAAAGGACGAAACUUAAGACGUGAUUACUUGUGUUUUGCAGAAU
rnacentral:lncRNA from 1 species